UACGUAGGGGGCUAGCGUUGUCCGGAAUCAUUGGGCGUAAAGCGCGUGUAGGCGGCCCGGUAAGUCCGCUGUGAAAGUCGGGGGCUCAACCCUCGAAUGCCGGUGGAUACUGUCGGGCUAGAGUGCGGGAGAGGCGAGUGGAAUUCCUGGUGUAGCGGUGAAAUGCGCAGAUAUCAGGAGGAACACCAAUUGCGAAGGCAGCUCGCUGGAACGUAACUGACGCUGAGACGCGAAAGCGUGGGGAGCAAACAGG
rnacentral:rRNA from 1 species